rnacentral:rRNA from 1 species
CAAGUCGAACGAGAAAGUGGAGCAAUCCAUGAGUACAGUGGCGUACGCGUGAGUAACACGUGGUAUCAUCUACCUUUUAGUGGGGAAUAACCCUGGGAAACCGGGGAUAAUACCGCAUAAGCCCGAGAGGGGAAAGCAGCAAUGCGCUGAAAGAGGAGUCCGCGGCCGAUUAGCUAGUUGGCGGGGUAAAAGCCCACCAAGGCAGAGAUCGGUAGCCGGCCUGAGAGGGCACACGGCCACACUGGCACUGAAACACGGGCCAGACUCCUACGGGAGGCAGCAGUGGGGAAUCUUGCACAAUGGGGGAAACCCUGAUGCAGCGACGCCGCGUGAGCGAUGAAGCCCUUCGGGGUGUAAAGCUCUUUCGGCAGGGAAGAUUAUGACGGUACCUGCAGAAGCAGCUGCGGCUAACUACGUGCCAGCAGCCGCGGUGAUACGUAGGCAGCAAGCGUUGUUCGGAGUUACUGGGCGUAAAGGGUGUGUAGGCGGUUGUUUAAGUUUGGUGUGAAAUCUCCCGGCUCAACUGGGAGGGUGCGCCGAAUACUGAAUAACUUCGAGUGCGGGAGAGGAAAGUGGAAUUCCUGGUGUAGCGGUGAAAUGCGUAGAUAUCAGGAGGAACACCGGUGGUGUAGACGGCUUUCUGGACCGUAACUGACGCUGAGACACGAAAGCGUGGGUAGCAAACAGGAUUAGAUACCCUGGUAGUCCACGCCCUAAACGAUGCAUAUUUGGUGUGGGUCAUUCAGUUGAUCCGUGCCGGAGCUAACGCGUUAAAUAUGCCGCCUGGGGAGUACAGUCGCAAGGCUGAAACUCAAAGGAAUUGACGGGGGCCCGCACAAGCGGUGGAGCAUGUGGUUCAAUUCGACGCAACGCGAAGAACCUUACCUGGGCUCG